CUUUGGCCCACAUACAUUGACUUCCUCAGGCCAGGAUGACGCCUCUGGGGACUACUCACAUCUGAUUCAUACCAGGAGGUCUAGAGGAAGGAAAUAAAUGAAAGGAUGUUUUUUUCCUCACCAUAACUGCUGCCACCACCUACCCACAGGCCAAGGACACCUCCUCAAGACUCUCACAAAAAUAGGGCCAGCGAACCUGAGUCCCAGCUACAUCUAAUGCAGCUCUUUGAAGCUCACCUAAAAGUCCAGGAAAGAGC